rfam:Felis catus isolate Cinnamon breed Abyssinian chromosome B4, whole genome shotgun sequence.
GCCUGGGUGGCUUGGUCGGUUAAGCAUCUGACUUCGGCUCAGGUCAUGAUCUCACGGUCCGUGAGUUCGAGCCCCGCGUCGGGCU